rnacentral:rRNA from 1 species
GGUGAACGCUGGCGGCGUGCCUAAUACAUGCAAGUCGAGCGAACAGACGAGGAGCUUGCUCCUCUGACGUUAGCGGCGGACGGGUGAGUAACACGUGGAUAACCUACCUAUAAGACUGGGAUAACUUCGGGAAACCGGAGCUAAUACCGGAUAAUAUAUUGAACCGCAUGGUUCAAUAGUGAAAGACGGUUUUGCUGUCACUUAUAGAUGGAUCCGCGCCGCAUUAGCUAGUUGGUAAGGUAACGGCUUACCAAGGCAACGAUGCGUAGCCGACCUGAGAGGGUGAUCGGCCACACUGGAACUGAGACACGGUCCAGACUCCUACGGGAGGCAGCAGUAGGGAAUAUUCCGCAAUGGGCGAAAGCCUGACGGAGCAACGCCGCGUGAGUGAUGAAGGUCUUCGGAUCGUAAAACUCUGUUAUUAGGGAAGAACAAAUGUGUAAGUAACUAUGCACGUCUUGACGGUACCUAAUCAGAAAGCCACGGCUAACUACGUG